rnacentral:rRNA from 1 species
UACGGGGGGGGCUAGCGUUGUUCGGAAUUACUGGGCGUAAAGGGCUCGUAGGUGGCCAACUAAGUCAUGCGUGAAAUCCCUCGGCUUAACCGGGGAACUGCGUCUGAUACUGGAUGGCUUGAAUCCGGGAGAGGGAUGCGGAAUUCCAGGUGUAGCGGUGAAAUGCGUAGAGAUGUGGAGGAACACCGAUGGCGAAGGCAGCCCCCUGGGUUAACACUGACGCUCAGGCACGAAAGCGUGGGGAGCAAACAGG